GACGAACGCUGGCGGCGUGCCUAAUACAUGCAAGUAGAACGCUGAAGGAGGAGCUUGCUUCUCUGGAUGAGUUGCGAACGGGUGAGUAACGCGUAGGUAACCUGCCUGUUAGCGGGGGAUAACUAUUGGAAACGAUAGCUAAUACCGCAUAAUAGUAGAUGUUGCAUGACAUUUGCUUAAAAGGUGCAAUUGCAUCACUACCAGAUGGACCUGCGUUGUAUUAGCUAGUUGUUGGGGUAACGGCUCACCAAGGCGACGAUACAUAGCCGACCUGAGAGGGGGAUCGGCCAAACUGGGACUGAGACACGGCCCAGACUCCUACGGGAGGCAGCAGUAGGGAAUCUUCGGCAAUGGACGGAAGUCUGACCGAGCAACGCCGCGUGAGUGAAGAAGGUUUUCGGAUCGUAAAGCUCUGUUGUAAGAGAAGAACGAGUGUGAGAGUGGAAAGUUCACACUGUGACGGUAUCUUACCAGAAAGGGACGGCUAACUACGUG
rnacentral:rRNA from 1 species